AACCUGGCCUGCGUCGUCGGUUCGCAUGGCUAAAAAAGCUUAGACGUGAUUAUUAAAGUUAGACUGUUGCGCGCAAUUGUUGAUCUCUACGAGGGACUUUCGUGAUGCGCUGUGCUUCGAGCUCACGUCCGCGAACUCGGCAGCCGAAGCUUUGCCCUUGCGUGGUAACGUGGUGGCCUCGCCCAGCGACGGCAACUCGCGCGGCUUCCACACUGGUGAACCUGCAGUAGCGAAAAACAGAGGAAAAAUAGAUUCAGGCAUUAGACAGACAUGUGUUCUUGUAUACUACAAAUGAUGCAUACAGAUUGGACGUGCUGGUAAGAGAAGUCAAUGCAGUCGAUAAGGUAGAUCCCGAUAAAAUAUUAUAAAUAAUGUUGCCCUUACUUAAUGAAGUCAUACCUGGUUGAUGGUAUGCUCAUGUUGCGCACUGAUUCUCGGAUGAUCUGGCGUAUCGUCUUAAGGAAGGAGUUGCGGAAUUCGCUAGUGCUGUUAGAGAGUACGUAGACCUUCUCGGAGCGGCGUUGCAGCUGGCUGCGCAGAUGGAUCAGCUCCCAAAGGAAAUGCGACUCCAUAUCCUUGGCUGAGCUUGAGCGCACCUGAACCUCAGUCACGGGAAUAAGCACCUGGUAGCGGAUUAUCUCAACGUCGCCCGCAUUUGUCUUUGGUAGAUUGGCCUUCGAUGAGCCGCCCUAUAAAUAGUAAAUUGUAUUUUUUUUCGAUGUGAAAUUUUAUUGUUACAAAGAUAGAUUGGUCAAAGUGUUGAUUAUAAUCGUAAAUUUGUCAGCGGAAUAUGCUUAUAAAUCAAAUUUGACUUUCAAGCGGUUCAAAAACAGAUCUAAUGUCGGUUUUUAUAGGUAAAUAAAUUAUUUUAGUUGCAGAA